rnacentral:misc_RNA from 1 species
AAGUCGUAACAAGGUAACCGUAGGUGAACCUGCGGUUGGAUCAUUAUAAAAUGAUAGAGUGUUGGGUUGAGGCCUUUUCAAGGUCUCCUCUUCACUCAAACACCACUGUGCACUGUAAUAGUACUUGGGUAUUUUGCUGGCGACUUGGUCUUUUUAGACUAGGAAGUUUUGUAGAAUGCCCGCCAUUUAUCAACCACUUUAUAUUUUGACUGACUUUUGUUUCUUAUGAAUCAAAAACAACUUUUAACAACGGAUCUCUAGGCUCUC